CCUAAAACAGACAGACCCGCUUCACUUUGGGCCGCUGGAGAUGGGAGAAACCGAGCCUAUGGCGAGCGUUUCAGUCAACCGGACUUUUUAAAACCAUCUACCAAACGCCAACCUUUACCACCGAAGGUCAUGUUGUUUUUUUAAAGCGAGUCAUUUCUGGGGGGGAAGGAAGAGGACUGUGGUGAUUUUUGGAAGUGACGACCGACUGCGCCUUCACGUUAGUUUAGUUAGCUUCACUGACUGAAAGCCGAACGGACAAACGGACUCCGGCCAGCCCGUCGAGUCAAACAAAGGUUACAGCAGGAACAUGUUAUCUCCGCAGCUUAAACACUAAAUACAAGUUGAUUGUCAAUUUUAUUUUAGUCUUUUUGUACGCUCCGGAAUAUCUCAGGUGCUUGGCUCUAACACGUCCGGUCUGGGCUGAAAAUUGUCACGAUCCAUGCUCAGCCUGUUUUUCCACAGAGAGCUGCAAAGCAAAGCAAUAAUAACCAGACUUCUUGGCUGCUGGAUUUAAAGCUGAGGAUUAUUUCUUUUUUUUUCACCUCAAACGGCUCCUGGUUAAGGAAGACCUAAUAAAUGAUGUCAACAAAAACUCCUUUACCGACGGUCAACGAGAAGGUGACGGAAAGUCACACAUCUCACAGCAACGGGCGCCAGGAGCUCGGCACACGCUCAGGUCGGACCGGCAUGCGAUCCCGCAGCUCGGACGAGUCGCAGCAACCCCAUGUGGGGAACUAUCGGCUGCUCAAGACCAUCGGCAAAGGCAACUUCGCCAAAGUUAAACUUGCCCGGCACAUCCUCACUGGCAGAGAGGUGGCAAUUAAGAUAAUAGACAAGACACAGCUGAACCCAAACAGCCUUCAGAAGCUUUUCAGAGAAGUCAGAAUAAUGAAGAUCUUAAAUCAUCCCAAUAUUGUCAAGCUGUUUGAGGUGAUUGAGACAGAGAGGACCCUCUACCUUGUCAUGGAGUACGCCAGUGGAGGUGAGGUGUUCGACUACCUGGUUGCACACGGAAGAAUGAAGGAAAAGGAGGCCAGGGCUAAAUUUAGACAGAUCGUAUCGGCGGUGCAGUACUGCCACCAGAAGCACAUUGUUCACAGAGACCUCAAGGCGGAGAACUUGUUACUAGAUGCAGACAUGAACAUAAAGAUUGCCGAUUUCGGCUUCAGCAACGAGUUCACUUUAGGCAACAAGCUGGAUACGUUCUGCGGCUCUCCGCCGUACGCGGCCCCGGAGCUUUUUCAGGGGAAGAAGUACGAUGGGCCGGAGGUAGACGUCUGGAGUCUGGGGGUCAUCCUGUACACGCUGGUCAGUGGCUCCCUGCCCUUUGAUGGACAGAAUCUAAAGGAGUUGCGUGAACGUGUUCUAAGAGGAAAGUACCGUAUUCCUUUCUAUAUGUCCACGGACUGCGAGAACCUCCUGAAACGCUUCCUGGUCCUGAACCCGACCAAGCGUGGUACUCUCGAGGUGAGGGAGGACACCGAAAAUCAAAUCAUGAAGGAUCGGUGGAUCAAUUCGGGAUUCGAGGAGGACGAGCUAAAGCCUUAUACCGAACCAGAACUGGACAUCACGGAUCAGAAGAGAAUAGAUGUGAUGGUGGGUAUGGGCUACAACCUGGAGGAGAUCCAGGACUCCCUGGCCAAGAUGAAGUAUGAUGAGAUCACGGCCACCUACUUGUUGCUGGGCAGGAAAGCCUCUGAGCUGGAACCUAGCGACUCUGCCUCCAGCAGCAAUCUGUCCCUGGCCAAACCCAGACCAAACAGUGAGCUCAACGGCCAGUCGCCAUCCCACCUCAAAGUGCAUAGGAGCGUCUCCUCCAACCACAAACAAAGGCGUUACAGUGAGCAAGCUGGUCAGAACGUUCCUCCAGGGAUGGCUCAUCCAAAGAGAAGCCAGACCACCACAGCAGAUAACGCUGUGAAGGACGAAAGUGGAGCUCAGCUCCGGAAACCCGGCAGCCGAGGCGGUCCGCCUUCCAGCCCCCUGCUGGGCAACGCCAACAACCCCAACAAGGCUGACAUUCCUGAGCGGAAAAAAGGAGCCACCACCAGCGCAAGCAAUAACUCUGCUUCAGCAGGCAUGACCAGGAGAAACACGUAUGUCUGCAGCGACAGGAACAACACGGACCGCCUCUCCGUCAUCCCCAACGGGAAGGAGAACAGCAUGACUGAGAUGGCUUGUGCCACUAGCCCCUCUUCUUCUUCUUCUGCCUUUGCUGCCGUCGUUUUCGGCGCCUCGUCCACUUCGGUACAGCAGAGGUAUCAAACCGUCAGCCCUCUGUAUGCUUGUCAGGCAGACUGGGCCACCCUGCCCCACUCCUACUACGCUCUGGACAGCUGCUCGGCCAAUGUUGCCGUGUCGCCCGGUGGCCAGAGGAACCCAGUGGCAUCCACCCACAGCAUCAGCAACGCCACCACGCCCGAUCGUCUCCGCUUCCCCCGCGGCACGGCCAGCCGCAGCACCUUCCACGGCGGCCAGCUGAGAGACCGCCGCACCGCCACGUACAACGGCCCACCGGCGUCCCCCACCCUGUCCCACGACGCCACGCCGCUGUCCCAAACCCGCAGCCGCGGAACCAGCAACCUGUUUUCUAAGCUCACGUCCAAACUCACCCGCAGGGUCAGUAUUGACCCGGCCAAACGGCAGAUAGCCAAAACAGGGCCUGCCAACCCUUCUACCCAGGGAGGAAAGACCCUUAGUAAGUCUUCUGCCCUUUGCUUUCUUUCUCUCCUCAAUUUGUUUCUCUCUUUAUGUCCUCCUUCCUUUUUUAUCAUCCUGCCAUGCUUUCUUUCCCUCCUCUUGUAUUUUUUUGCCCCGUCCUCAUGCCAUUCAUUUGAAUAUUCUUUCCUUCGUUUUUUUUUUUUUUUUUGCCGUUUUGAGUUUCCUCAGAUUCCAAUCUCUUUCUUUCAGAUUCUCGAGCAGAAGAUAUAGAGAGUUGUAGGAAGAUGAAGAUCUAGAGUAAGGGUUGCUUCGAUCUCCUAAUUUGUCCCUGAGGAAGUCUCUAAAGAAACAGUCUGGUUUUCAGACGUUGCUCCUCCUUCUGUAGUGUUUCUUUGUUGUUGUUGUUGUUGUUUUCUGCGCCAUUGUGGCUGGCCUAGGACCUGCUGUCAGUCCCGUCUCUUCACUUGUCCUCUUGUCCCCUUUUAGAUGUUAAAAUGUAGCAUUGCACAUGUCCUGUUUGUUUCCUCUGCGCCGCAGUGCAUGAUGGGAGCCUGUGCAGAACACCCGUCCUGUCAGAGGAGAGUUUUAAUGUUGCAUUAUUUAGAUGUUAUUUCUGUAUCUAAAUGCUUUUAGUGACAUGAGGGCCAUCAGAAAGAUGUUUUUGAUCAACUUUCAGUAGAAGUUUGUAAAAUUAUUUCUGAGUUCUCAUUGUUCAUUUAGGUGAUGUCACACUGCUAUGAGAGACACUGUAAAAUAUGAUUUUUGCUGUGUUAAAGGCAAAAUGAUUUGGACUUGAUGCUUUAGGCUGUUUUUGGCGAAUUGGAUGUUUCGGGUUGCAGCAAAUAGGGAUCUCUGCAGCUUUUCCUAGAAAAGCUAAAUCAUUAUUUGACCUCAGAUUUUCAGAAGGCUGCCAAGUAUUUUCCAAAUCCAUCGUGUUUAAUGACAGCCAGAGGCUCACAGCUCAAAAUCGUACAAUAGAGAAACGGCUAGAAUUAGGGGUGAACCAAUAAAUCAGCCCAGGUUUCCUUUGUCUGCAAUUGUGAAGCCGAUCUUAUUUCCCCGCUGGUGUGUGUUGUGAUCAACACACACCAGCGAGAAGCAUUUGGAAUAAAAAUAGUUUCCUUUUUUUGUUAAAUGCCCUUUUACAUGUUCUGUGCUUGAAAACAGGUAAAGUUGUGGUAUCCAAAGUUGAACAUGGAUACCGCUCCUGUCUGUCAGUGGAGCUGAAAAUCGGCAGCAGCACUGAUUUCUUGGUGCGUCUUUAGAAAAUACGGGGGGAAAAAAAACAAUUGGAGAAAAUAGUUGAAGGGAGGAAAAAUUGUAUUUCUCAGCAUCUCUUCACAUAAGUAGAUAAAAUCAUCUCGGAUUAAAUCAACUAAUAUUUCAGUAAAGCAGUCCCACUCAUUAAUGGACAGGUUAGAUUAUUAAUAUAUGGAUUGGUCCUGAUAUUGAAAAAACUUGUAGAUCGGGAAUCGGUGACGAUGUUCCCGAUCCAUAAGGGCAGAUCUAUUCAGUAUAGUUCUACACUGAGCAACGUCGUGCAUUGUUUAUUUUUACUUUAGAAUUCCUAAUUUCACUUUUUAAACUAUUUGAAAAGUUUCCUUAUGUAUUUUCCAUUGGCUGUUCUCCUAAUUACACUGAAAACAAAUGAAAGUGUUUUUUCCAUGUUUGACCAGCUAUGUUGGUGUAUUUCAGUGAGCUGUUCUGGUGCAGAGUUGGGAAGUAAAUUUGUAAUUCAGUGCAUUUAUGUCUGUAUUUAAAAAAACAACAAAAUAAUUGUUUUAGAUCAGUUCAGCUGAUACUAAACCUUAGAUUUUUGUAUCAGUAGUGAAAAAGUGGAUCAGUGCAUCCCUAGUUCUAGUUUUAACUUUUUUUUUUUAACACACAUGCACACACGUAUAUAUGUGAGUAUGUUUCAAUCUUGCAGUCAGGCAGUCUGCAGCAGUUACUUUUUAAUUCUGCAGCUUACAGCUGCUGGUAUUUAACAUCACGGGGAUGUUUUUGUGGAAAGUCUGGCAUAUUAUUCUCAAGUUGUUUGAUCAGAAACUGAGCUCAUUUUAAUCGUCCCUUUUAAUACACACCACUUGGACCCCGUGAUGAAGCCCAGGAUGUCUUCCUCACCUCCUGGUGGACUGGAUGUUGGGUCAUUAGCGUUCUGCAGUCACAGGAACACGUCGACUGGUCUGUGAACUUCACAUCUCGCUGACUGCAAACCCGGAUGCUUCAUCUGCUCACUGACGUUUCUAACUUGGCGAAUGAAAACCGAUUGUCUUUCCAAAUUAUCCUGAUAACAUUUAGCAAUUGGGACACGAGAUCUUCAGUCUUAACCUCUUCAGGCGUCGACUCGGACUUUUCUGAGAACUUUUUCGCAGCUUCUCCGUCUUCCUUUUCUCAUCCCACCUGCUUUGGUUGCUGCUGUUUUGGGUUGAAACGCCGCCGCCGUGUUUUUCUGUUUUCUGUCGUUGCUUCCAGAUGAACAGCCCUCACCGUUUUGGUUUCUUUCAUCACUACUUCUUCUUCUUCACUGACAUUAAUGGAAGCCAGCUCUUCCAUCUUUCUUUGUGUUUCUAAUUUAUUUUUGUUGUUGGUGGUGGCUCACACCGUCGCUCACGUAUUCCGUCACACACUAUUUAUUUAUUUAUUUCCAUUCACUGAAAUUGAUCAGAAAUGAUUUCUGUUGUGCACAAUCCACAAUCUGUUGUGUUGUUUUCUUCUCCCCUGACUCGCCCACGCCUCCCUGUGUGAAUCAUCUCAUGGCGCCUCAGAGUCUCAACCGAGUUUGAGAGAAACGGGAGACUUGAGGGCUCAAGUCGCCAUGUACCUGGGGAUCAGAAAGGGGAAAUUAAAGACAGUAAGCCCCGCUCCCUCAGAUUCACUUGGAAUAUGAG